CAGUAGCCGCGGUAAUACGGAGGGUCCGAGCGUUAAUCGGAAUUACUGGGCGUAAAGCGUGCGCAGGCGGUUUGUUAAGCGAGAUGUGAAAGGCCUGGGCUCAACCUAGGAAUAGCAUUUCGAACUGGCGAACUAGAGUCUUGUAGAGGGGGGUAGAAUUCCAGGUGUAGCGGUGAAAUGCGUAGAGAUCUGGAGGAAUACCGGUGGCGAAGGCGGCCCCCUGGACAAAGACUGACGCUCAUGCACGAAAGCGUGGGGAGCAAACAGGAUUAGAUACCCCUGUAGUCCCUGUCUCUAUACC
rnacentral:rRNA from 1 species